rnacentral:misc_RNA from 1 species
GUUUGGAUGCCUGUAAAUGAUCAGCUAAUCAUCAGGAAAAUGCACACCCUGUUCAAUAUCUAAAAGGCAAAAUGAAUUUCGUACAUGCCAAAACAAAUACAACAAAUCCUAUGUAUUCUAUCAUAUUUAACGAAAUAUCCUCAUAUGCAAUGUAACAGUAAGACCUCAAGCUGGAAUUUAGAUAAUUAAAGCCAAUCAAGUACCUUUCUAAGUUUGUUGUCACAUU